rnacentral:rRNA from 1 species
UACGUAGGGGGCGAGCGUUGUCCGGAUUUAUUGGGCGUAAAGAGCUCGUAGGCGGUUUGGUAAGUUGGAUGUGAAAUCUCCAGGCUCAACUUGGAGGGGUCAUUCGAUACUGCCAUGACUAGAGUUCGGUAGGGGAGUGUGGAAUUCCUGGUGGAGCGGUGAAAUGCGCAGAUAUCAAGAGGAACACCGAUGGCGAAGGCAGGUCUCUGGGCAUUAACUGACGCUGAGGAGCGAAAGCAUGGGGAGC